ACUGAGGGUAAAACUGUGCUGCAGGAAUGGAGGGCCUCAGGAUAGAGGAGAGCAUGAUCCAGGCGAUCAGUCCGAGAAAACAAAUUAUAAAGAAUUGUAGGUACUUACUAAUGCCAGGCCAGAUGAGGGAAAAUACCCUCUGUUUCCCAUCAGCUGUUUUUUUUUUCAAUGGUGUCCCCAGAGACUUCCUCUCUCUGGACCAGCCUUGCAUGUUUUCAGGUAGGCCAGCGUCAGACAGUUUAGGCCACGUGUCUGUCCUGUUUCCAGGCCUUUCAAGAGCAUGGAGCCCAGGGUCUAUUUUUGCAGCCUGUUUCCAGCCUAUAGUGUGGAUUUGCUUCACUGGUGAUGAAGGCAGCUGGGACAGGUGCCCUGCAGAACUGGUGGGUAAGGAUUUUCUGCUAGCUUAAUUUGAAGCGCACAGGGAUUCCAGCAAAACAACCAUGCCUAUAGGGAGGUAGCUUCUGAGAAGUCUUGGUCUCUGCUUCAUUUUGGUGAUUGCUCGGCAGAGAUAGGAAAUUGUACAGGCAGCCUGCCUUCAAUGGGGGAAGUCAGAACAUGCUGGAGAAUGAAACUAUGUUAAGCACAGUGGGCUCUAUUCUUGGUUGACAGAAGCAUCUCAAGACACAAACAGAUUUGUGGCAAUGACCCAGGAAUGUUACAAAGGGGUUAAUUUAGCCUUUCUGUAGGAGUAUAAAAGCCCAAAACAGCAGAUUGUGUGACAGAUGAAGGCAGGGCUAAAACCCUGUCCAUGGACAGCCCUGCUAGUCAUAUAUCAGGAAGGGACUCUUACCUAUGAUGUUUAAGCCUGUUCACCCUCAGGAUGACUAGUGCCUAUGACUUUCUCAGGAAUUACAAAUUUUCAUGCCUUAUAGAUUUCAGUCCCAAAUUUAAGUCCCAGACUAGCUGUGUCAGCUGGUUACACUAGGUGAGAGACACACUCGACUUUGCUUUUGUCCCCUCUAAGGGGCAGACAUUUUGCCUACUGUCCAUCAAAUGAGUGAGACAGUAGCAUGGAGGGGAUUUGCAACAGACACCUCUCUGCUCCUUCCUGGAACCUGGCUGUCUACAUAGAUUUGGGUGGUAGAAGUGGGCUUUGCCUCAUUUUCUUAAAGAGAGGGCCCUUGUGAAGUUUUUGCACCAAAAUUUGGCUGGAGAGAUUGCAAACCACCUCUAACAAUGCCUCACACUUUGUGCUAUGCUUAGCUGCUCAGAACUGUCUUCUGUUGUGCUUGUCCUCCAGAUAUAAACAAAGGUCCUGUUUCUUGUAGUUGAGCAACUGGCUUCCAAUGAUUGGAGAAGGAUCCAGGGCUCCCCACCAGAACUUCUGGUUUCAAGCUGAGGCUGUAAUCAUUUAUAAUCUGGUAAGAAACACUUACAUGGAUAUAAUAACACAGGCACAACACACACAAAUGUUUCAGUUUUCACUGAAGGCUUUGGUAUCAGAAACAAAGAUGUGGUAGCACGUUAGUGAGUUGCACCGUUCCUCAGAUCAGACCUGUCUUAUCCUCCAAAUCUAACCCUGAGAAGGACACUUUCUGUGCAAGACCUGUUUAACUCUUACUCCUUUCCUUGUUUUCUGCACUAGAUUUUCCCAGGGAACAGAAACAAUAGAACAAAUAUAACUUACAGUUGGGAUUUAUUACACGGCUUGCACAAUAGGUCUGUGUAGUCCCGAGUGGUUGUGUGAGCACUGGAGAGGCUCCGAAUGUGGGAUCCGUUCAGUUCACAAGGCUGAAUGUCACAGCAGCGGGUCCCAGCCUGCUUCUAAAGGCUCAGGGGAUUCCUGCAGGGUCAUUGGAAGAGUCCACAUUGGAAAGCUAAAGAUGUUGGGUUUCUAGGUCAUUGAAAGAAGGCAGCAACAGAAAACACAGAGUGAAUGCACUCACCAGCAAGGACCAACGGCAGGCAGGCAAAAGCAUCAAUAUUUUUCCCUCAACCUCUACAUCUGGGCUGGUACUGCUCUCCCUUCUGGGUAGCAUCUCCUCGAAGAGUAGUGUUGAAGCACAUCUCUUGAUUGAUCCAAGAUCCCAUCAAACUGGCAACCAAGAUAAAGAUCCCCUAAGGUAAGCCUCCUUUCUGGAGGCUCCGGAAAGUUAAAUUUCUUAUGCAGAAUAGUGAUGUUCUGCAGAACAGUGCGAGUAUGGCAUGUGUUGACACAUCUUUUCAUGCCCCAGGCAGAUGCUCUUGGGUUCUAAGGGAAAUAGAUCUCUGUUGAAACUGUUCAUUCUGCUGCUUCUGGGUUAAAGUAUUCUGGAUGGUAGCCAGCAAUCACGGCUGUGUCUCAAUAAAAUUUUUGUUUACAAAAACAAGUGCCUAUCAUUCCUACUCUAUGUCACCCGGUCCUUUUAACUGCACUGAACAUAUUGUAUGAGUCAUGAAUUGCUUCUUUUUACU
rnacentral:lncRNA from 1 species